rnacentral:rRNA from 1 species
AUGCCCUACCCGCCGUCUGCUCCCAAGGCCGCCACCGCCGACUCUCUGUACGGUGUCUACUCCGAGCACGUUGCCGCCAUGGCCACCUCCCCGCCACCGCCGGCGGUGGCCGGGCCACAGGCACUCGAGACGGGCACGAAGCUGCACAUCUCCAACCUCGACUCCAGCGUCACCGUCGAGGACGUCCAGGAACUCUUUUCAGAGAUUGGUGAGCUCAGACGUUAUUCUGUUAACUACGAUAAGGAUGGGAAGUCUCAGGGAAGCGCGGAAGUUGUCUUUGCAAGAAAAGUAGAUGCUUUGGAUGCUAUUGAGAGAUAUAAUGGUGUUCUGCUUGAUGGGAAGCCAAUGAAGAUAGAGCUCAUUGGAAAUAAGACCGAGCCACACCCAACAGAACCUUUGAUGUACAACGGCACUUCUUCUAACUACAAUGCAACUCCAAACAGUUUGCUUCAGAGAGGUGACCAGAGAGGGCCAUUUCAUGGUAAUGGUCGUUCUGGAGGCAGUGGUCAGGGCGGUGCUGGCAAAAGAGGAAUGUUUCAAGGCAACGUUCGUCCUGGAAACACUGUCCAGGACGGUGGUGGGCGGGGACAGGGCAGAGCCAGAGGGCAUGAUCGCAGCCGAGUUCCGGCCUCUGCUGCGGAUCUUGAUGCUGAACUGGAGCAGUAUCAUGCAGCAGCAGUGAAGCAAAAAUGA